UGGGGAAUAUUGGACAAUGGGCGAAAGCCUGAUCCAGCCAUGCCGCGUGUGUGAAGAAGGUCUUCGGAUUGUAAAGCACUUUAAGUUGGGAGGAAGGGCAGUUACCUAAUACGUGAUUGUUUUGACGUUACCGACAGAAUAAGCACCGGCUAACUCUGUGCCAGCAGCCGCGGUAAUACAGAGGGUGCAAGCGUUAAUCGGAAUUACUGGGCGUAAAGCGCGCGUAGGUGGUUAGUUAAGUUGGAUGUGAAAUCCCCGGGCUCAACCUGGGAAUGGCAUUUGUGACUGUAGAGCUAGAGUACGGUAGAGGGGGAUGGAAUUCCGCGUGUAGCAGUGAAAUGCGUAGAUAUAGGAAGGAACACCAGUGGCGAAGGCGACCACCUGGACUGAUACUGACACUGAGGUGCGAAAGCGUGGGGAGCAAACAGGAUUAGAUACCCCUGUAGUCCCUGAGCGGGCUGGCAAGGCGCAU
rnacentral:rRNA from 1 species